rnacentral:tRNA from 4 species
GGGCGAUUAGCUCAGCUGGUUAGAGCACCGAACUCAUAAUUCGUAGGUCCCUGGUUCGAGUCCAGGAUCGCCCACCA